UCGGAUUAGGGCCGGGCGGUCAGGCACUUCGUUUGGGACGGAGAUUAGUUAUGUUCGAUUCAUAAUAAUCCGA
rnacentral:tRNA from 1 species